GGCAAAUUAUAAAUCAUGUGUAACAGCUCUUCUUCUGUCUUUACUUCUAUGUCUUUCUUCUCAAGUCGGUGUCGCCGAGGCCAAACGCUCCACACUUACUACCAAGUCUUCGGAUACCCGAUGCGCGAGAAACCCACCAAGUCAGUACCGGCGAGGAUGUUCCAGCGCCCCUGCCCCGACGGGCACACGUGCGAACCACUCUAACUCAAUCAACCAAAGGAAAAGGUCCAUAAGUGAUGAUGAACUUAAAGUUUCAAGAAGUGAUGGGGAGUUGAAGAAAUAUAUGUUUCAAGGGAAUGUCGAAUAAUCAAGUUUAUAUACUGUUGUGUAAUUGUUAAAAGUCUUAACAUGGAAUAAAUGUUUAAAUAAUCAGAG